rnacentral:rRNA from 1 species
UCGCAUCUGUGCAUGCAGCAUAUCAAUAAGCGGAGGAAAAGAAACUAACAAGGAUUCCCCUAGUAACGGCGAGUGAAGCGGGAAGAGCUCAAAUUUGAAAUCUUAAAGGGUUUCCCUUUACGAAUUGUAGUUUAAAGAAGUGUUUUCUGUUGAGGUUUUGGUAAAAGUUCUUUGGAAUAGAACAUCAUAGAGGGUGAGAAUCCCGUAUUUGACCUUUACUUUCAACUUUGUGAUACACUUUCAAAGAGUCGGAUUGUUUGGGAAUGCAGUCCAAAAUGGGUGGUAAAUUUCAUCUAAAGCUAAAUAUUGGCGAGAGACCGAUAGCGAACAAGUACCGUGAGGGAAAGAUGAAAAGAACUUUGAAAAGAGAGUUAAACAGUACGUGAAAUUGUCAAAAGGGAAGCGUUUGACACCAGUGUUGUUUUUCUGAAAAUCAAUUAAAGAACUGUUUAUGCUAAGCUGUUUAGACUUUAUCAGCUAUCUGUUUAGUUUUGAGCUUUUCUUUAAUGCACUUUUCAGUUAACAAGUCAACAUCAAUUUCUUUUGCUGUAAAAAAGCUUGAGGAAGGUGGCUUGAGAUUCGUCUUAAGUGUUUAUAGCCUCUUGCCUAUGCAGUCGGAGAGAUUGAGGUCUGCAGCGUAGAUCCUUCGGGGCUAAAUGCAUUUGUGCUAAGUUAUAGCAUUUUAUAGACAACUUGUUGACUAUGAUUUGUCUUGUAGCUUACUCGCUUAUGUUAUUUUACCUACGCUUAGGAUGUUGAAUCUGUGCGAGACUAC